CGUUUGUAUCUUUACAUUUUCUUCAUGCUGACAUCCUGUGACGGAAGUGUGUGUGAACUACGUCACCUGUCUUUCUUCUCACAUUAACACACACACGCACACACACACAGUGUUCAGCAUCAGGAGGGAUUUAUCGCAGUAAAAUGAUUCACUCCAAUCAGUCCAGUCAGUCGAUCUUCUGUUGUUGCUGCUGUGCUGUGCAGACCAGGAGCAGCACACGUGUGGAUGUGAAUAGCGGCAGAUGUCCAGGAUCCGUCUGUACGUCUCAGUUGUCUCAGAAGAAGCUGCCUCACUCCCCUCCUGAUGAUGAUGAUGACGGCAAAGGGAUGAUGAAGGUGGUAGCGAUGUACGACUUCACAGCCACAGAGAGUUCAGACCUGACGCUUCAUCAUGGAGAAGAGUAUACUAUACUUCACAAACAGGACCAGCUGUGGUGGAGAGCUGAAGACAAGCAUGGGAACAAGGGUUUUAUUCCCAGCAACUAUGUAACAGAGAGCGGCACUAUAGAGGCCAACAACUGGUACUGUAAGAACAUCAACAGAGCUGAAGCAGAACAUUUACUUAGACAAGAGGGGAAGGAUGGAGGAUUUAUUGUCAGGAGCUCCAGUCAGCCCGGCAACUACACCGUAUCUCUUUAUUCACAGGGUUUAGGUAAAGGGGAGGUUAAGCACUACCAAAUAAAGAAGACAGACGCAGGGUGCUUUUACCUGGCAGAAAGUUAUCUGUUCUGUUCGGUCCCAGAACUCAUAAACUACCACAAACACAAUUCGGCAGGGCUGGUGGCACGACUGCGAUAUCCGGUCGGGCCGUUGGGAAAAUGCCUCCCGGCAACAGCUGGAUUUAGUCCAGAUAAAUGGGAGAUCAAUCCGUCUGAACUGACCUUCAUGAAGGAACUGGGCAGCGGUCAGUUUGGAGUGGUCAGACUGGGCAAAUGGAGAGCCCAGCAUAAAGUGGCCAUUAAAACCAUCAGAGAAGGAGCCAUGAGUGAAGACGACUUUAUAGAAGAAGCCAAGAUCAUGACGCGAAUGUGUCACCCUAAACUUGUUCAACUGUAUGGUGUGUGUGUCACCCGGCGGCCCAUCUGCAUUGUGACGGAGUUUAUGGAGAACGGCUGUUUGAUUCACUUCCUGAGGCAGCACAGCAGAACCCUGGACAACAUGACGCUGCUUUUCAUGUGUCAGGACGUCUGUGAAGGGAUGGAAUACUUGGAGGAAAACAAAUUCAUACACAGAGACCUGGCCGCACGUAACUGUCUGGUGAAUGAGAGGAGUGUUGUAAAAGUGUGUGACUUUGGCAUGACCAGACAUGUUUUAGACAAUCAGUACACCAGCUCCACGGGCUCCAGGUUCCCGGUGAAAUGGUCUCCACCUGAAGUUCUUCAUUUCAACAAGUUCAGCAACAAGUCAGACGUCUGGUCAUUUGGUGAGGUCACGUGUCAGUUUGUGUGUGCUGAUGUGGGAAGUCUUCUCGGAGGGUAAGAUUCCCUUUGAAAACCGCUCUAAUGUGGAGGUGGUGGAGGAGGUGACUCAGGGUGGACGUCUCUACAGACCUCACAGAGCAUCUGGACCCAUCUACAACAUCAUGUACAAAUGCUGGCAUGAGAGACCUCAUGGACGGCCAUCUUUUUCUGACCUACUUCAAGACAUCAGACAGAUCACAGAGGAUACAGACACACAGACUCUCAGAGACUGAUGAGGACGUCUGUCAUCUAGCAACAAUCCUCAGAAACACCUUAUCAUAAUUCACAUUACUGAUUCAAAAUUAGACAUUAAAACAUCAUCAGUAAGCGCCGGAAAAGACAGAAUGCGCUGAAAGCUUUUGCUAAAAAUUAAUUAAGCCCCGAGUAUACAGAUUGUCUUUAGAUUUAAUUUGUUUGUAUUUUUUGUUGUUAUGAAUGUAUAUUUUAACCUAAAGAUGAUUUUUGAAUGCAUGACAUAUUUUGUCCGUAACCUCAGAAAUCGGUUAUAUGUGUGUGUGUAGUUUUAUUUAGUAAUUCAUUCUUCAAAACAGUGGGGAUAUUUCAAAAAUAUGCAUUUAUGGAUCAAGUACAUAUAAAACAUUUAUCUAAAAGCAACACAGUCCUCAGUCAUUUCUAUUUGCCUUGCAAUUUUCUCUACAAUGCCGUGCGUAUGUGAUCAUGUGAGAUUGCAGAAGAGAAUUUUCUGCAUUAAAAUUCUAAGCUUUUAACUUAAUUUAAAGGACUGAAUUAUAAAAAUGUAGGUCAUUUGCAAUUGUAAAAUAAGUCUCUUUAGGAAGCUUACGCUUCUUUUUAGUGCCCGAUGAUGUGUCUGUCUGUAUUUACUUUCCAAAACUCAAUUUCAGAUGUUCAUUCAGUAAAAUACCUUUUAUAUUGUCACUCAUAUAUUAUUAUUGUGCCAAAUUCACAAUGAUCUGAAAAACGCAAACUUUUAAGUCGACUGAAUUUAGUCCUAUAGUGGGAUCAGUGUGAAUAAGAUUUACAUAUAAUACAUGUUUUGGAUGAAAGCAUGUUUAGGAAUCAAGUUUUCUAAAACAUUAUUAUCCAAUAAAUCCUAUAUUUAU